AAAUUGAAGAGUUUGAUCAUGGCUCAGAUUGAACGCUGGCGGCAGGCCUAACACAUGCAAGUCGAGCGGUAGCACAGAGAGCUUGCUCUCGGGUGACGAGCGGCGGACGGGUGAGUAAUGUCUGGGAAACUGCCUGAUGGAGGGGGAUAACUACUGGAAACGGUAGCUAAUACCGCAUAACGUCGCAAGACCAAAGUGGGGGACCUUCGGGCCUCAUGCCAUCAGAUGUGCCCAGAUGGGAUUAGCUAGUAGGUGGGGUAACGGCUCACCUAGGCGACGAUCCCUAGCUGGUCUGAGAGGAUGACCAGCCACACUGGAACUGAGACACGGUCCAGACUCCUACGGGAGGCAGCAGUGGGGAAUAUUGCACAAUGGGCGCAAGCCUGAUGCAGCCAUGCCGCGUGUGUGAAGAAGGCCUUCGGGUUGUAAAGCACUUUCAGCGGGGAGGAAGGCGAUAAGGUUAAUAACCUUGUCGAUUGACGUUACCCGCAGAAGAAGCACCGGCUAACUCCGUGCCAGCAGCCGCGGUAAUACGGAGGGUGCAAGCGUUAAUCGGAAUUACUGGGCGUAAAGCGCACGCAGGCGGUCUGUCAAGUCGGAUGUGAAAUCCCCGGGCUUAACCUGGGAACUGCAUUCGAAACUGGCAGGCUAGAGUCUUGUAGAGGGGGGUAGAAUUCCAGGUGUAGCGGUGAAAUGCGUAGAGAUCUGGAGGAAUACCGGUGGCGAAGGCGGCCCCCUGGACAAAGACUGACGCUCAGGUGCGAAAGCGUGGGGAGCAAACAGGAUUAGAUACCCUGGUAGUCCACGCCGUAAACGAUGUCGAUUUGGAGGUUGUGCCCUUGAGGCGUGGCUUCCGGAGCUAACGCGUUAAAUCGACCGCCUGGGGAGUACGGCCGCAAGGUUAAAACUCAAAUGAAUUGACGGGGGCCCGCACAAGCGGUGGAGCAUGUGGUUUAAUUCGAUGCAACGCGAAGAACCUUACCUGGUCUUGACAUCCACAGAACUUUCCAGAGAUGGAUUGGUGCCUUCGGGAACUGUGAGACAGGUGCUGCAUGGCUGUCGUCAGCUCGUGUUGUGAAAUGUUGGGUUAAGUCCCGCAACGAGCGCAACCCUUAUCCUUUGUUGCCAGCGGUCCGGCCGGGAACUCAAAGGAGACUGCCAGUGAUAAACUGGAGGAAGGUGGGGAUGACGUCAAGUCAUCAUGGCCCUUACGACCAGGGCUACACACGUGCUACAAUGGCAUAUACAAAGAGAAGCGACCUCGCGAGAGCAAGCGGACCUCAUAAAGUAUGUCGUAGUCCGGAUUGGAGUCUGCAACUCGACUCCAUGAAGUCGGAAUCGCUAGUAAUCGUAGAUCAGAAUGCUACGGUGAAUACGUUCCCGGGCCUUGUACACACCGCCCGUCACACCAUGGGAGUGGGUUGCAAAAGAAGUAGGUAGCUUAACCUUCGGGAGGGCGCUUACCACUUUGUGAUUCAUGACUGGGGUGAAGUCGUAACAAGGUAACCGUAGGGGAACCUGCGGUUGGAUCACCUCCUUACCUUAAAGAA
rnacentral:rRNA from 1 species